GUCAAUUCCCACAGAUGAUUUUAGCACUGUAUUACAUCUCAGAAAAUGCCUAAUUUGUGACAUUAAGACAAUAGAUGAUGGUAUGUGGACAGCUUCUUGGUUGUGUGGAAAAGGCUCAUGUGUAUCCACUCAUGUGGGAGGUAUCUGCACAGCACUGUUAAAAAAAGUUUACUGUAUGAGUUGUCUUUUGUGGUAAAUUCUUGUCUGUCAUAAAGAAGAUUCUAUGUUUAUAAAUUUGAAUGAAGUUAAGCUUUCUGCCCAUACAUAAUGCAUCUGUAAAGCCUGAAUAGAAUCUAUAUUUGCUGCAUGUAGACUCACCAACUACUUUAUUUGGUGCACCUGUUUAGCUCUUCAUUAACAAAUAUAUAAUCAGGUGGCAGUUACUAAGUGCAUUUAGACGUGUAUAGACAUGACCAAAACAACCUGCUGAAGUUCAAACCCAGUGUCAGAAUGAGGAAGAUAAGUGACUUAAAUUACUUUGAAUAAUUGAAUAAUAAUCAUAGUUUUUUUUUGUGUGUGUCCCGUUUGGAUCUUUAGCCAUCAGAAUUGUUGUCUUAAGGCUAAGAAAGAUGCCAAGUGGAUUUAUUUUACCAAGUGGAUCAUCAUGGCCUUGCCAUAUUGGUCCAUUUGAUUGACCUUUAUUAUAAUUAUGAAUUUAUUUUAUUUUCAGUUGCUACAAACGGGACAGACAUGACUGGGGGAUAGGACAGGGAGAAAGAAUGAAAGAAAGAGAGGGAGAGAAAGAAAACCAAAGGGGAGAAGAGACGGUGAGAAGGGGGGGAAGAAAGAAAAAGAAAAAAACCCCCAAAAAACCCCCCAAAAAACCAAACACCUGGAUCACCUGUAUGGAGAAAAAAAAACCAGAAGAGAAAGCAAACAACAAAGAGCAACAUAAUAAAAAAACGGCACCAUCACAAUAAACUAGCUAGCAGUAGAUAACAGUAGAUACUAAAUAAUAAACGAUAUUGUGCAGCACGCAAGAUAGACAGCGCACAAUGUGCUUUGAGGCAGCAGCCAAGAAAGCUGUAGUCCGCGUCUGUGAACACCCGUGUGUACACCUGUGUGCAUACCUGUGUGGAUCAGCAUGCUUGUAUUCCAAAGGUUUCUCCAUGUAAUGAUCUUCUAGGGAGUGUGGGGAGCCACAGCCCCGUCCACCAGGGUAUGAAGCAGGUAUGGAGGAGAUCCAGGCCCCAGAUAUCCAGAGGCCCCAGAGUACAAGGACCCGAGGAGGACCACCAAAGGGGGGGGGGGGGGGGGGGGAACCGUGCCACCCUCCUGGGAAGAGCUGAGUAGAGCCCCAAAGGAGAGGUCACCCCGCAGCUACGGAGCAGAGGCCAGAGGGGGUUGCAGUGGCGUGCCCGCGGGCUCUGCCGGCAGCCAGCUGUGCCAGAGAGGUCCGAGCUUCAGGCCCAGAGGCCUGAGGGCAUCCCACCCCCCGAAAGGGGCCCAGCCGGGCCACAGGCGUAACCCUUCUCUCUGGGGUGGAGGCAAGCGGACCACCUCCUUAUCUGCAGUAGCAGGGAGGCCCCGCAUCCCAGACCCCAGUCUGACAGCCAGCACCUCCUCCCAGCCCCCCAGCCCUGAUGGCUAAAAAAGAAAAAAAAAAAAGAAUAAUAAUCAUAGUUGUUUUCGUCAGAUGGGCUGCUCUCACUGUUUUGGAAACUGCUGAUCUGCUGAGAUUUUCCCGCACAACCCUCACUGGUGUUUACAAAGAAAGUUCAAAAUGCCACAGGUCAAAGAUAAAUGGGUAAAUGGCUUUGAGCAGAGGAACGGCAACAGUAAUUCAUAUAACCACUUGUUACAAGGUAUGCAGAAGAGCAUCUCUGAAUACACAGUGCAUCAAAGCUUGGAGCAGAUGGGCAACAGCAGCCACUCCUUUCAGCUAAGAACAGGAAACUGAAGCUAUAAUCACACAGCUCACUAAAACUGGACAAUAAAAGAUUGGAAAAACAAAUAAAGUAUCCAUGUGGUGUGACAUCUCAAAUGUUGUUUAACUAUGAAAAAAUUUCAUUUUGAGUCACACAGCAUCAUUAUCAAAAUGUCCUAAUAUAUUCUACCCAGUCCUCUGCAGUCAGUGAAUGUGGAUGCAGAGUAUGGCUUUACGUGAUCAGGUAAAGUUUGUGUUAAGUGGUUCUUUUGUAAUCUUUCUUCACUACUUUGAUGUCCAUGUUGGCUUGUUGUAUCCCAUCAUGGACAUUAAUUUCUCCCUACCCUCAGUGGCCAUCUCAAUUAAUUCUUUUAGAACACAGUUAUACCUCGAAUGGAGCUUUCAUCUCCAGCUUUUU
ensembl:lncRNA